GGGGUGGCACAAGGGAAGAGUCCAAUUUGAUUUGGACUCUUGUUGUUUCCUAUUUGGUCCCAAACCAAAUCAAAUCUAGUUAGGCCUAAAUAGAAAAGAGUAAAUCUAAUCCAAUUAGAUACUAAACCUUCUCAAUUAAAUUAUAAUAAAAUAAAAAAUUAAUUGAGCCCAAGUUCUGAUGAAAUCAGGUACUAAUCUCCCUUAAUAAUUAGGUUAUCUUAUAACUUAAUUAGGUCAGACUUAAUUGAAUUUAAUUCAAAUAGACUUGAUCCGAAUCUUA
rnacentral:lncRNA from 1 species